rnacentral:rRNA from 1 species
AUUGAACGCUAGCGGGAUGCUUUACACAUGCAAGUCGAACGGCAGCGCGGACUUCGGUCUGGCGGCGAGUGGCGAACGGGUGAGUAAUGUAUCGGAACGUGCCCAGUAGCGGGGGAUAACUACGCGAAAGCGUAGCUAAUACCGCAUACGCCCUACGGGGGAAAGCAGGGGAUCGUAAGACCUUGCACUAUUGGAGCGGCCGAUAUCGGAUUAGCUAGUUGGUGAGGUAACGGCUCACCAGGGCGACGAUCCGUAGCUGGUUUGAGAGGACGACCAGCCACACUGGGACUGAGACACGGCCCAGACUCCUACGGGAGGCAGCAGUGGGGAAUUUUGGACAAUGGGGGCAACCCUGAUCCAGCCAUCCCGCGUGUGCGAUGAAGGCCUUCGGGUUGUAAAGCACUUCUGGCAGGAAAGAAACGUCGCGGGCUAAUACCCCGUGGAACUGACGGUACCUGCAGAAUAAGCACCGGCUAACUACGUG